CGAUUUACGGAUUUAAUUGCGUAUAUUUAUAUUUAAUUAUUAAUUAUUUGACUUCCGUAAAACCGUCCACUCGUAACGGUUUAGCGAUUUUUCUUCCCGGAAGUUUCAACAAAACUGACCUUUAGCCUAAUUUGAAUAUUCCGGACAUUUUUCGUGUUUUGACUUUUUCGAUCCGGAGUACGGUUUUUCCCGGAGUCGGUCCGGCGGAGUUUUGCGGGUAUUUGAAUUGUUGAUAAUUAUCCAGUUUGUCUCGAUAAGCGUGAAACUAGAUAUUUUGAUUAUUAUAUUAAUUCUUAUCUUGUAAUAAUUGCAGUGGGACCCGCAUACUAAUGACUGAUUAAAAAGCCCCGUUUUGAUGAUUAUCUUGAAAACCAGUACCGAUUGGACCCCGCUAUAUUAAUAUAAAGCUAUUAAAUACGUAUUUUCAUGUCAUAAACGAUCCAAAGGGGUACCAAUUAUUUGUAAAUAUAAAUAGACUUUUCUAUAGCUGAUUUUCACCCGUAAAAUCAUUUCACCAGUUUCUUUUCACGAAUACCGAGAGAAACCGAGCUGCGUUCUUCGUGUUCUUCGUAAUCAAACGAAGAUUUGAAGGUGUUAUUGGAGUCAGAAUCAAGCGUACGAAUAGUCAAAUCGAAGGUAUCGAAGAGUAGAACCUAUAUCUGCAAUCAAAAACAACAUGAGAUUCAUAGAAAGGCUUAAAGAUGAGAUGAUUGAUUGAGAUUGUGAGUAAGGCUAAUGCUAGGCGAGGAGACAGAGUUGAGGAUCCAGUGGUCGAGGAGUGUUCAGGAAAGUUGAUGAGGUUGGUGCAAGCUGGAAUAGUUGACAGUGAUUCUUCUUAUCGAAGAUGAUCUGAUUUGGUAAGAGAUGUUGUGUAAUAAUAGUGGUAGAUUCUAAUUUCAAUACUGUAACCUGGAUGCGAUCCUGUUGAUUUUAGGGGGUUUAAAUGUUCUCUUUCGAAUCAUUUAUUAAAGUUUAAAUGUUCUCUUGAAA